AUGCUACUAAACUUCUCACACAAUUGAAAAAUAUUACAUCCGAGUUAGAUGUUGAAGUUGAAAAGCAGCCAGCGGUCAUUCCAACUAUGGAAUAUAACAAAAAAAAUGUAUCAGAACGAGAAAUAUUCAAUCUAUUUGGAGACAUAUCGUUCCAAGAAAUAGUUUACAGUGUAGAGCAGACGCCAAAGAAAGAGACCAGAGAACAGUCAACAA